AUGUUCUGGGGAGACGGGGAUGCCCAAGGGAAGGGCUGCACCCCAUGGGCUCAGAGAUUCAGGCCAGAGCCCCGUCUGACCGGCACCGGCGGUUUUCAGGAGUGUGGCUUUGCCUCUAGUCAGAGCCGUCACCCGGGAGCCCCCAGGAUGUCUGAGGGUUCCCCUCCGUUGGACGGUCACUGGGUGCCUCGGGUGCCCCUCCCACAGCUGGGGGCGCAGGCUCCUGACUGCACGGGCACCCAGCCUUCCCUCCAUAGAGGCUCUGGGUCCCGGACGCAGUUUCAGAGCCCCGCCCACAGACCUACAGCCUCCUGCUGCCUGUGCCUUAAGCAGCACCUCAGAAGGUGCCCGUGUGUCUCUUUGCUCAGGGCUCUGCAUGUAAUCGGCCUUCUCACCUUUGCCAAGGGCCCCAGGAGCCCACGGCCUCACACGCUCACAUGUGUGAGUCACCUGGGGGCUUGGCAAAGGUGGUCUGACUCUGGUCUGUCUGGGAUGGGGUCCCAGACUGCAUUUCCAACCACCCUGGGUGCUCUUCGUCCUGGGGAGCAGGAGACCCCAGAGGGUCCCCUGCAGAGGUGGGCACUACCCCCCCAGGCACGAAAGAGGAAGAAUGGGCUGCCCACGGACCUGCGACCUCGGACCCCAGCCUUAGGCACCUUCCUGGUGUGCCACCAGACACCCAGGGGUGACCUGGGCCCAGCACAGGAAGGGGGGCAGUGGGCCCCCUGCGAGCAGGGUUUGGGGCCCUUCUUGGGGCCUCUGGGGAUGAGGGGCUGUAGGGGAGGCAGCCUGGUGCCCUCGCCCAUGACCCUGAGAGGGCCCCGGGCUGUGUGGGCAGCGGGGUGCAUAGAUGAGGUCCAGCCCUUUGCUGUGAUGGGACCUCCCCAGGAUGAGAGUCCUGAGCGCAGCGGCUGGGGUUCAUGUGCCUACCUCCGCCUACACAUUACCGUGCGGGAGACCAGCUGUCUUCUGGGCACCGGGGCAGAAUCCCCCUGCAGCCUCCUGGUCAAGGGGCCCCACCUGGGUCGGCACAGGAUGCUGGGAGCAGCCCCUCCUUGCCCAAGGUAA
rnacentral:lncRNA from 1 species